rnacentral:lncRNA from 1 species
GCUUUGGGGCGGUGCUGCUAUGGGGUGGCUGUCACAGUGGGAAAGAACAGCACGGUGGAAAGGCGAUACAGGAGAGGAAUGGCAAAGGGACAAACAGGAAAGGAACGCUCAGCGGUCUGCGAACAUCUCGGCUCACGGGGAGAUACCCCCCCAGGGAGGGAUCUCCACGCACAGAGCCUUCCCAGCCGCUCUCAGCCCUUCCAUGAGGUCUCAGAGCAGUGCGGGCAGGCUCCGCCCCUCCCGCUCACACCGCUGCACCGCCUCCAGCUGUGCCGCCAGGGCUGCCCGCUCCUUUCCCAGGUGCUCCAUCGCUGGGUCAAGCCGGGACUCGGCAGCUCCCAUUGGGGCACGAAGAGGCCGAGGCGGCCGACGGCAAACGGCGACCGUCCCGCGGGAACCGCGAGACACGGGAGAGGAUCUCAGCCGUCGGCCGGGCGGCGCUUCGCCCACGGGGACAGCGGGCAGCAACCGCGGGAAACGCGGCCCGGUGCGUCCGCAGGCCGUGAAGCAGCGCAGGAAGCGCAGGGACACGGCGGGGAACGACCCCGGCGGACUGAGCGGCGCUCCGCUGUGGGACGUCAUCACGGCCCGCCGCGGCGCCCGGUGAUGACAUCACAUCCGGCCUGGAGCGGAAGCGCAGUGUGGACGGGCGUGGAAAGGGAGGGGGCUGAUGGAGAAAGAAUGGCGGUGCUUCCGUGCCUGGGGCAGCGCUCCCGUCCCGUCCCACAGCGCUGCGGGAAGCGAUGGCAGCGGCUGCAAUAGAGCACGCUUUGCUUACUGCAAACUCCGCGUCUUUACGAUGGGCAGCGGCUUGGCAGGAUGGGCAGAGAAAGAAAUCGAAGGAGUCCCGAAGGCGUGUGACUCCCUGAAGGUAUUGGCCAGUGCAGAUCCUGUGAAGGUUGUGGCUGUGCAGAGGCCUCUUCUGCACGGAGGCACUGGGUGAGCUGCCAGCAGCUUCCAUUGCUGCCCAGCUAAGCGUACCCGAAGUCAUGGGCUGUACCUGAAGGGGGCCUCCAGGAAAGCUGGGAUGGGGCUGUUUUGUAAGGGCGUGGAGCGACAGGAGGAGGGGAAAUGGCUUUAGAGUGGAAGAGGGUGGAUUUAGACAGUGGAGCAGGUUGUGGAUGCCCCCGCCCUGUGAGCAGCCUGGUGUGGUGGGAGGUGUCCCUGCCUCCAGCCGGGGAUGGAAGUGAAUGGUCUGAAAGGUCCCUUCCAACCCAAACCAUUCUAUGGUUCUUUGUAAACUGCAGGGAAUUGCAGAGGAGAAUGGCUUUAAGAAGCCAAUAGCACUAGAGAUGCAGCGUGCAGUUCAGAGAGCACCUCUGUGCAGUGAGGUCAGAGAGUGCCUGAAACAAUACGACCUGGACAGAGAGUGGCUCAGAAUGAUGACAGAAUCAUAGAGGCACAGGGCUGGAAAGGACCUACAGGAUCAUCCCGUCCAACUGUCCUCCUAUCACCAUCACCACCGCUGAGCUCCUCAGCCUCAUCUCGUAGCACCUCAUCCACAAUGUCAGUGGUUUAUGGGCUGGUUCGGCCCGGUUCCGUGAGUAGCGGGGCAGAGGGACCCGCGGAUCGACACCCCAGAAAAGGGGAACAGGGAAAAGGAUAGCGAGAUGGGCCCAAAAACAACACAGCAGCAACGAUCUGAGGAGAAACAAAGUAAUUGACUAGAAACAACAUCGGGCUGCAAGAUAAUACACUGUAAUACAACAGCAGCACUGGCACAAGGUUGGUGGUGAUGGGAUGUCUCAUUGUGGGUGCACCUUUUGCUUCCAGAGGACGUAGUGGUCAGCUCUGCUGCAGACCCAGUGCUUGUGUAGGUGGCACAGGGAUGAGCUGAUCCUGUCCCCGUUCAGGUAUGCACAUCGGCCUCCACCUCGCAGCUCAAACCUGUGCCCAAGAGGGAGGAGAAUGGGAAAGGUGCCCCAAUCUGCUGAGAAAAGCUGGGGCUGCCUCUCCUGGGGAAGGAAGGGCAGAAAGGGCUCAUGGUGGAGCACCAAGCCUGAGCCUGGCGGGCCACGGUAAACCACGGCUGUGGCACCAGGAGAAGGUCCCCAUCCCAAAGAGAGCCCGUGGGAAGUCAUGGCCUGGACAGCUGGACAGACAAACUGACCAGUUGGUGAAGGCUGUGCCAUCGCUCCAUGUCCACUGGGCGUCCUCUUCUUCCCUGUGCAGCCCGAUCCAACAGUUUGCCGGGCCCUGGAAGCGCAUCAUGAAAUCCUUUAAAGGAAGAGAGUGUUGAAUGUCAGGAGGUUUUAACAUCUGUCCCACUCACAUCUCAGGCUCCAGCAGGCUGCAAGGCGCUGCCUUCUGCUGCAUGGAAGAAGCUUUUUUGUGCUUCCAUGGCACAAGAGCUGCCCCCAGAGGUGCACAUCUCAGGACAUCCCCCAGGUGGAUGCGGGAGGGGUUAGGGGCAGUAACAUGCCGCUGUCCCUCCCCAGCCUGGUGCCUUCCUCAGAGCUUUGGGCUCAUGUCCCCAUCUCACCAUCUCCUCCGCACUGCCUAUGGUGACCAGGGAAGCUCCGUGGGCAUUGCAGUGCUCCCUGCUGCUGUUCCAAUCAUUCUCCUCCUUCGAAAAAUAAUAGCAUUUCCCCUGGAAUCCGACCCAGGCGUUGUGAAUAGUGUGGAUAUUAUUACGGGCUGGGAAGGAUGUUGUAAGGCUGCUGUGUUACGAUAAGAGAGCCACAGCAGAAGAAAAGCAGAGAUAACAAGCAUGAGAGAAGCCAAGGCGUGCACACAGGG